AGAGUUUGAUCAUGGCUCAGGACGAACGCUGGCGGCGUGCCUAACACAUGCAAGUCGAGCGAUGAAAUCCUUCGGGAUGGAUUAGCGGCGGACGGGUGAGUAACACGUGGGUAACCUGCCUCAAAGAGGGGAAUAGCCUUCCGAAAGGAAGAUUAAUACCGCAUAAUAUGUUUUGGUCGCAUGAUCAGAACAUCAAAGGAGUAAUCCGCUUUGAGAUGGACCCGCGGCGCAUUAGCUAGUUGGUGAGGUAACGGCUCACCAAGGCGACGAUGCGUAGCCGACCUGAGAGGGUGAUCGGCCACAUUGGAACUGAGACACGGUCCAGACUCCUACGGGAGGCAGCAGUGGGGAAUAUUGCGCAAUGGGGGAAACCCUGACGCAGCAACGUCGCGUGAAUGAUGAAGGCCUUCGGGUUGUAAAGUUCUGUCUUCUGGGACGAUAAUGACGGUACCAGAUGAGA
rnacentral:rRNA from 1 species